rnacentral:rRNA from 1 species
UACGAAGGGGGCUAGCGUUGCUCGGAAUCACUGGGCGUAAAGCGCACGUAGGCGGACUCUUAAGUCGGUGGUGAAAUCCUGGAGCUCAACUCCAGAACUGCCUCCGAUACUGCGAGUCUCCGAGCCCGGGAGAGGUGAGUGGAACUGCGAGUGUAGAGGUGAAAUUCGUAGAUAUUCGCAAGAACACCAGUGGCGAAGGCGGCUCACUGGCCCGGUACUGACGCUGAGGUGCGAAAGCGUGGGGAGCAAACAGG